GUUGCCUCCGGGUCUGGCUCGGUCCUCAUUCGGGGUCCUGCCCCUUUUCAGCCCGCCUUUGAUGCUGUCCUCAGAAUUGCCUGACUCUCAUGACAGGACAACGGGGCCCGCUAUCCCACUGCUCCUUUUAUCCGAGUCCAGGAACAACAUCGUAUCGUCUUCAGGAAGAUUUUGGCGAGAACGGGCAUAAUUCGCUUCCCCAAGCCCCAAAGUUGGGUUUCUGACCCGGCGCGUGUGCUGGACGCCUCGGGGCGGAGCCUGGGCUGGCGCGUGUGGCGGGCACUGCGAGCGGCGCGCAGUAUAAAGCGGGACGCGCGGCCACUCGCGCAUGCUUUCGAGAGAGGGAGCGGCUGGUGAGCCUGUCUUGGAGUUUUGAUUGUGUUCCGUUCGCGCGGGUGCAUCUUCAAGCUGAGGGACCACCCACUACAACCCCAUCUUGGGUGCUCCUUGGAGCUGAACAGAGGAAGGAGGAGAAACAGCCCCGGGGUUGGGGGCAGGACGGUGCUGGAGUCAGUUGCUGCAGAUCAUACGAGUGACACGCAGGGAGGAGCCGUAGUGAGGGGUGGUCAAGGGGAGCUGAGGGGGGCAGGGGGAGUAUGGGCCACACUG
rnacentral:lncRNA from 1 species